rnacentral:rRNA from 1 species
UUGUGCCAGCCGCCGCGGUAAUACGUAGGGGGCGAGCGUUGUCCGGAUUUAUUGGGCGUAAAGAGCUCGUAGGCGGCUUGGCAAGUCGGGUGUGAAAUCUCCGGGCUCAACUCGGAGGGGCUACUCGAUACUGCCAUGGCUAGAGUCCGGUAGGGGACCAUGGAAUUCCUGGUGUAGCGGUGAAAUGCGCAGAUAUCAGGAGGAACACCAGUGGCGAAGGCGGUGGUCUGGGCCGGUACUGACGCUGAGGAGCGAAAGCGUGGGGAGCGAACAGGAUUAGAUACCCUGGUAGUCCACGCCGUAAACGUUGGGCACUAGGUGUGGGGCCUUAUCAACGGGUUCCGUGCCGUAGCUAACGCAUUAAGUGCCCCGCCUGGGGAGUACGGCCGCAAGGCUAAAACUCAAAGGAAUUGACGGGGGUCCGCACAAGCGGCGGAGCAUGUUGCUUAAUUCGAUGCAACGCGAAGAACCUUACCUGGGUUGAACUACGCAGGAAAAGCUACAGAGAUGUAGUGUCCGCAAGGGUCUGCGAUAGGUGGUGCAUGGCUGUCGUCAGCUCGUGUCGUGAGAUGUUGUGUUAAGUCCCGCAACGAGCGCAACCCUUGUCCUAUGUUGCCAGCGGGUAAUGCCGGGGACUCGUAGGAGACUGCCGGGGUCAACUCGGAGGAAGGUGGGGAUGACGUCAAGUCAGCAUGCCCCUUAUGCCCAGGGCUGCAAACAUGCUACAAUGGCCGGUACAAAGGGCUGCUAUCCCGUGAGGGGGAGCGAAUCCCAUAAAGCCGGUCUCAGUUCGGAUCGAAGUCUGCAACUCGACUUCGUGAAGUCGGAGUCGCUAGUAAUCCCGGAUCAGCAACGCCGGGGUGAAUACGUUCCCGGGCCUUGUACACACCGCCCGUCACACCACGAAAGUUGGUAACACCCGAAAGCCAGUGG